GAGGCUAUAGCUCAGUGGUAGAGCAUGUGCUUAGCAUGCACGAGGUCCUGGGUUCAAGCCCCAGUACCUCCA
rnacentral:tRNA from 1 species